GAUGAACGCUGGCGGCGUGCCUAAUACAUGCAAGUCGAGCGAACGGACGAGAAGCUUGCUUCUCUGAUGUUAGCGGCGGACGGGUGAGUAACACGUGGAUAACCUACCUAUAAGACUGGGAUAACUUCGGGAAACCGGAGCUAAUACCGGAUGAUAUUUUGAACCGCAUGGUUCAAAAGAGAAAGACGGUCUUGCUGUCACUUAUAGAUGGAUCCGCGCUGCAUUAGCUAGUUGGUAAGGUAACGGCUUACCAAGGCAACGAUGCAUAGCCGACCUGAGAGGGUGGUCGGCCACACUGGAACGGGGACACGGUCCAGACGCCUACGGGAGGCAGCAGUAGGGAAUCGUCCGCAAUGGGCGAAAGCCUGACGGAGCAACGCCGCGUGAGUGAUGAAGGUCUUCGGAUCGUAAAACUCUGUUAUUAGGGAAGAACAUAUGUGUAAGUAACUGUGCACAUCUUGACGGUACCUAAUCAGAAAGCCACGGCUAACUACGUG
rnacentral:rRNA from 1 species